AGAAGGACCAUAUGGAGUUUCAUAGUUUUAGAUUUCUCUCGCAAAUGCUUCUCUCAAACUGACUCAUGUUGUUUUUAUUACUCCUGGCGGUAGUAAACAGCUGGUGUGUGGGGGGCGUAGUCUGGAUUUCUGUAUCGUGUGUGUGUGUGUGUUUCUUUUUUUUUUAACAUACAUUAUGUUUUCAUACCUGUGUUUGUGUGUGUAAUCUGAAUGCAUUCCGCUGCUCUGUUUACCGGCCGUGCAGCGUGAGGAGAAGAAGAAGAAGAAGAAGAAGAAGAAGUGUGUAAGCGCCGACGCUACGCACUCGGCAGCCAUGUCCAAUUGAAAUAGAUUGGAGCCGUGGUAGGCAGGGUAAUUCUGGGUGUGCGCCGAGCCCCGCUGUAAUCUUCGUACUCCACCACGCCUCGUCUGGUCGCUUUCUCUUACUCUGUUUUUUUUUUUUUAUAUACAUAAUGAGAUCGAUAGCGUCGUGGGCUCCUGCAGAAAGUCCCAGAAUGAAAGAAUGAGACUUUGCCUUCAGCUACUUUUUCUUUUAGCUUUUUUUUUUUUGUGUGUGUGUGUCCUCCUCUGACUAUGCAACUCAAUCAAGUUUAUCCGGUCUAAGUUCUUUUGGUGGCAGCAGUGUGUUCUCUAAGGCGAUGAAGUGGGGGGGUUGGUUGCUGUCAGUGAUGUGUACCUCUGAAUUUAAUCCAAUCAGAGUGAAGCCGUGUCCCAGGAAGUGUUGCUGUCCCACAUCUUUGGGCCGAUUUCAAAACUCCUGCAGUUUUCCCACAUCGUUCCUGUCUUUUAUCUGCAGUUGGGUUCUGUAAGGAUUUGUUUCUUGCUUUACUUCCUGUGUUCCCCCCCUCCUUUUUUUUCCCCUGUUUGAUUGGUUUGUCCCAGUGUGCCCCGCCCUCAUUAGUUGCACCUGUGUCUGGUUUACUCCUCAGCAUGUGGGUGUGCACAUGCAGCCGUGUCUUUGCCAUCUGUCAAGUUGCCCCUGUUGGCGUUUCCUGGUUUUUCAGACAUUUCAGGAAUAGAAACAGAAACGCUGCUCGAGAGGAGGAGGAGGAGGGGGAAGAGAGAGAGACACGCGCAGCUGAUCUUUAUUCAUCGUUUUCGUUUGACGACAUUCGCCGGCAACAGGAACAUUAGAAGACAAGAGCCGAGCAGAACUUGGAUCGUCCCUGAUCUCCAUCCGCGGACCCGCAGCCCAUCACCCACGCCGCAUCAUCCCAGCGUCCACGAUAGCGGCAAAUGAAAAGAGGUAAUGCGAAAAGAUCAAC